rnacentral:lncRNA from 13 species
UUUAUUGUGUUAAGCACAACCAAAUCAUUCAUUCAUUCAUUUAUUAAUGCCACCACAUAUUGACUACAUGUUAUAUGUUCAUUGCUAGGUGCUGACUCUGCAAGGACUUGAAUGGUUUUGCUUUUAGAUAUUCUCAGUAUAGUAGAAGAUGCCACUUUGCAAGAGAUGAUUACAACAAUGUGUUCUAUGCCAUAAACAGCACAUGUCUAAAAUGGAAAUCCAACUCAGAGAAGAGAAAGAGAUCAUGGUGGAAAAGAACAGAAAGAACAAAGAGAGAUACAUGAAAGACACCUCUUGAUUGAGCUUAGAAACUGAGAAAUUGCACUAGUAAAAGAGAAGAGGUGUUUGAUAUUUUAUUUAUUUAUUUAUUUUGAGACGUAGUCUUGCUCUGUCGCCAGGCUGGAGUGUAGUGGCAUGAUUUUGGCACACAACAACCUCCCAUUCCAGGUUCAAGCAAUUUUUCUGCCUCAGCCUCCCAAGUAG